AGAGUUUGAUCCUGGCUCAGGACGAACGCUGGCGGCACGCUUAACACAUGCAAGUCGAACGAGAGAAGAGGAGCUUGCUUUUCUGAUCUAGUGGCGGACGGGUGAGUAACACGUGAGCAAUCUGCCUUUUCAGAGGGGGAUACCGAUUGGAAACGAUCGUUAAUACCGCAUAACAUAAUUGAACCGCAUGAUUUGAUUAUCAAAGAUUUAUCGCUGAAAGAUGAGCUCGCGUCUGAUUAGCUAGUUGGUAAGGUAACGGCUUACCAAGGCGACGAUCAGUAGCCGGACUGAGAGGUUGAUCGGCCACAUUGGGACUGAGACACGGCCCAGACUCCUACGGGAGGCAGCAGUGGGGAAUAUUGCACAAUGGAGGAAACUCUGAUGCAGCGAUGCCGCGUGAGGGAAGAAGGUUUUAGGAUUGUAAACCUCUGUCUUCAGGGACGAAAAAAGACGGUACCUGAGGAGGAAGCUCCGGCUAACUACGUGCCAGCAGCCGCGGUAAUACGUAGGGAGCGAGCGUUGUCCGGAAUUACUGGGUGUAAAGGGAGCGUAGGCGGGAUCGCAAGUCAGAUGUGAAAACUAUGGGCUUAACCCAUAAACUGCAUUUGAAACUGUGGUUCUUGAGUGAAGUAGAGGUAAGCGGAAUUCCUAGUGUAGCGGUGAAAUGCGUAGAUAUUAGGAGGAACAUCAGUGGCGAAGGCGGCUUACUGGGCUUUAACCGACGCUGAGGCUCGAAAGCGUGGGGAGCAAACAGGAUUAGAUACCCUGGUAGUCCACGCCGUAAACGAUGAUUACUAGGUGUGGGGGGACUGACCCCUUCCGUGCCGCAGCAAACGCAAUAAGUAAUCCACCUGGGGAGUACGACCGCAAGGUUGAAACUCAAAGGAAUUGACGGGGGCCCGCACAAGCAGUGGAGUAUGUGGAUUAAUUCGAAGCAACGCGAAGAACCUUACCAGGUCUUGACAUCGUAUGCAUAGCUCAGAGAUGAGUGAAAUCUCUUCGGAGACAUAUAGACAGGUGGUGCAUGGUUGUCGUCAGCUCGUGUCGUGAGAUGUUGGGUUAAGUCCCGCAACGAGCGCAACCCUUACUGUUAGUUGCUACGCAAGAGCACUCUAGCAGGACUGCCGUUGACAAAACGGAGGAAGGUGGGGAUGACGUCAAAUCAUCAUGCCCCUUAUGACCUGGGCCUCACACGUACUACAAUGGCUGUCAACAGAGGGAAGCAAAGCCGCGAGGUGGAGCGAACCCCUAAAAGCAGUCUUAGUUCGGAUUGUAGGCUGCAACCCGCCUACAUGAAGUCGGAAUUGCUAGUAAUCGCAGAUCAGCAUGCUGCGGUGAAUACGUUCCCGGGCCUUGUACACACCGCCCGUCACGCCAUGGGAGUCGGUAACACCCGAAGCCUGUAGUCUAACCGCAAGGAGGACGCAGUCGAAGGUGGGAUUGAUGACUGGGGUGAAGUCGGAACAAGGUA
rnacentral:rRNA from 1 species